rnacentral:rRNA from 1 species
AUACGGAAGGUCCGGGCGUUAUCCGGAUUUAUUGGGUUUAAAGGGAGCGCAGGCGGAGAUGCAAGCGUGACGUCAAAUUUCGGGGCUCAACCCCGUCUCGCGUCGCGAACUGCGUCCCUUGGUUGCGGGAAGGGGAGGCGGAACUCGUGGUGUAGCGGUGGAAUGCAUAGAUAUCACGAAGAACUCCGAUCGCGAAGGCAGCCUUCCGGCCCGUCAACGACGCUCAUGCUCGAAGGUGCGGGUAUCAAACAGGAUUAGAUACCCUGGUAGUCCGCACAGUAAACGAUGGACACCCGCGGUUUGGCCUAUAUGGCUGAGCCGCCAAGCGAAAGCGUUAAGUGUCCCACCUGGGGAGUACGCCGGCAACGGUGCAACUCAAAUGAAUUGACGGGG